rnacentral:misc_RNA from 1 species
UCUCCGUUGGUGAACCAGCGGAGGGAUCAUUACAGAGUUGCAAAACUCCCAAACCAUUGUGAACCUACCUACAACCGUUGCUUCGGCGGGCGGCGCCCGGGUCUGCCCGGGCGCCCCUCCGGCCCCUCGCGGGGGCCCGCCGGAGGUACGCAAACCCUCUGUAUUUGCAUGGCCUCUCUGAGUCUCUGUACUGAAUAAGUCAAAGCUUUCAACAACGGAUCUCUUGGUUCUG